rnacentral:rRNA from 1 species
GACGAACGCUGGCGGCGUGCCUAAUACAUGCAAGUAGAACGCUGAAGGAGGAGCUUGCUCUUCUGGAUGAGUUGCGAACGGGUGAGUAACGCGUAGGUAACCUGCCUGGUAGCGGGGGAUAACUAUUGGAAACGAUAGCUAAUACCGCAUAAGAGUAGAUGUUGCAUGACAUUUGCUUAAAAGGUGCAAUUGCAUCACUACCAGAUGGACCUGCGUUGUAUUAGCUAGUUGGUGGGGUAACGGCUCACCAAGGCGACGAUACAUAGCCGACCUGAGAGGGUGAUCGGCCACACUGGGACUGAGACACGGCCCAGACUCCUACGGGAGGCAGCAGUAGGGAAUCUUCGGCAAUGGACGGAAGUCUGACCGAGCAACGCCGCGUGAGUGAAGAAGGGUGUCGGAUCGUAAAGCUCUGUUGUAAGAGAAGAACGAGUGUGAGAGUGGAAAGUUCACACUGUGACGGUAUCUUACCAGAAAGGGACGGCUAACUACGUG